AGAGUAAAUUUCUCCCAAGCCAAUUAAUAUGAGAGCAUUAGUGUACUUGUUUCUAUGUAAAUAUACUACUGCACGUAACCAUAAUUGCAGCUAUCAGUAAGAUUCGGCUCGUAAAUUAUUAUGCACAUUAACCUGAAAGUACUGCUUGGUUCAUAGAUAUCCUUUGAUCUCUCCAUUCUGAGAGUAAAUUUCUCCCAAGCCAAUUAAUUUGAGAGCAUUAGUGUAGUUGUUUCUAUGCAAAUAUACUGCUGCACAUGAAACAAACAUUAAAAUAUAUUUAUAUACUUUGCAUGACCAGAUUUUGUCUCUAAAAUACUAAAACCAUGGACUACAAAUUGAAAAGCUCGCUGUACCUAAGAAACUAAUGACCUGGAAUUUGAUUUCCCUUGCCAAACAUUAACAUGAAUAACUAAUACGAACUACAUUUGUUGUUUUAGAAGGCAAAUCGAAAUAUAACCUUUCUCC
rnacentral:lncRNA from 1 species